AAAGCCCUCGUCUAGAAGAACGGUCGCGCCGUGGGAGGAGGUCUCAGCCGGGAAUUACCGCAGGAAUUCUUGGGAGUGCUGAGGACUUCCCUCCCAGUGUUCCCAGGAUCUCUCCCAGUGCUCCCAGCGGCAAAGCACCGGUGGCACUCCGUGGUCUGCUCUUGAAGAGGCAAGGCUUGAGCUGUCAGGAGAGAAACCCCGGCUGGAAGGUCCCCGGUGGGGCCGGCCCGGGAGCGCCCGGGGGCUGCGGAGAUUUCUCUGCAGUGCCGGCCUGGAGCUGCACGGGCGGGGGGAGCCCGCAGGGAGCUCGGCAGCUGCUGGGAUGGUUUUUUGUUUAGUUGGUUGGUUUUGGUUUUGGUUUGUUUUCUUCUCCUUUCUUUCUCUUUCUUUCUUCCUUUCUUCCUUUUUCUCCUUUUUGCUAAUCGGGGAGGCUGCUUCUGCCAGGAAAGCCUGUAGUUAGUUUCCCAAGGAGGAGUCUACGGUUCGAGUGAUAAGACUAGGAGGAAGUAGGAAGUCCACAAAGGGAAAAGGAGGAAAUACAAAAAUAUCAAACACAA